rnacentral:rRNA from 1 species
CCCACCUGACUCCAUCCCGAACUCAGAAGUGAAACGAAACAGCGUCGAUGGUAGUGUGGGGUCUCCCCAUGUGAGAGUAGAACAUCGCCAGGC